CAGCCGGCAGCGUCUAGGAGGGCGGGACGUUGUAGUGAAAACAAAUUGACUACUGAAGAAUGCGGCCUCAGAAGAGCAGCUCCCAUAUGUAUUCUGGAAUGACUUCCUUAGUCACUCUCCUCUGUCGGCAUGGCUGCCGCAGAUGGUAGCCAGCCAUGCGCACUGCCGCUUAACCAACAUUGGUGCCGUGACUCGGAUACACCACUGAGGACCUGCUGUGACUGAUGCUGCUUGCUGCCUCCUCCCCCAUCCAGCAAGACUGCUAGACCUCUAGCAUGUCCCUCGCUGCCUCUUCUGGACCCCCAUAGAGCUACCACUACUGCUACCACCAUGAUUCUUCACCACAGUGAGUGUCCGCCGUUCUCAUGGCUGUAGUCUGAGUUGUAUUCUUUGCGACGGACACCCCGGGAGUUAUCCUCAGGCUGCGCUGACAACGGCAGGCACAUUUUCACUCCUGACGAGCGGGUAAAUGCUGGCUCAGGUCCAACGGUGGACCAACUGUAGUGCCCUUACCAUCCCUUGAUGAAGAGGAUGGGUAACGAGCUGAUUCUUAUAUUUCUCUUCACUCUCCAGGAUGCUCGAGAUUGGAGUCUGAUCCCAGUUUGUUAUUUUAUUUUUCUCUUGGCUACAGCCAUGGGACAAAGGGACAGAUACAUUUACCACUUACAUUGGUCGAUAGGGGCGGGUACCAAUAAAUCUAGCCACAUAACAGUGUCACGGGAACUUCUGCCAGCAUAUGGGCAAAAGCCAUAAAACAAAGAGGCAGGUACAGGUAAAUCUGGCUGAAUAACAGCUUUGCAGGAACUUCUGCCAGUGAACAGGCAAAUUAAAAAAAAACUUUAUU